rnacentral:misc_RNA from 1 species
AAAAUGAAUUGCAGCAGA